rnacentral:rRNA from 1 species
AUUGAACGCUGGCGGCAUGCCUUACACAUGCAAGUCGAACGGCAGCACGGGUGCUUGCACCUGGUGGCGAGUGGCGAACGGGUGAGUAAUACAUCGGAACGUACCUUAUCGUGGGGGAUAACGCAGCGAAAGCUGUGCUAAUACCGCAUACGCCCUGAGGGGGAAAGCGGGGGAUCGAAAGACCUCGCGCGAUUAGAGCGGCCGAUGCCUGAUUAGCUUGUUGGUGGGGUAAAAGCCCACCAAGGCGACGAUCAGUAGCUGGUCUGAGAGGACGAUCGGCCACACUGGGACUGAGACACGGCCCAGACUCCUACGGGAGGCAGCAGUGGGGAAUUUUGGACAAGGGGGGCAAGCCUGAUCCAGCAAUGCCGCGUGAGUGAAGAAGGCCUUCGGGUUGUAAAGCUCUUUUGUCAGGGAAGAAACACCGGCUCUAACACAGUCCGGGAAUGACGGUACCUGAAGAAUAAGCACCGGCUAACUACGUGCCAGCCGCCGCAGUAA